rnacentral:rRNA from 1 species
AUGGAGAAGAAGCAGGCGAGCUACGGGAAGGGCGCGGCCAGGAUGGCGCCGAUGGAGGUGUCGGUGGAGGCCGGGAACGGCGCCGAGUCCGACUGGCUUGACGACGACGGGCGCCCGCGUCGGACGGGCACGGUGUGGACGGCGAGCGCCCACAUCAUCACCGCCGUCAUCGGCUCGGGCGUCCUCUCGCUGGCGUGGGCCAUCGCCCAGCUCGGCUGGGCGGCGGGCCCCGCCAUCAUGCUCCUGUUCGCGCUCGUCAUCUACUACACCUCCACGCUCCUCGCCGAGUGCUACCGCUCCGGCGACCCGGAGACCGGCAAGCGCAACUACACCUACAUGGACGCCGUCCGCUCCUACCUCCCGGGCACCAAGGUGAAGCUCUGCGGCGUCAUCCAGUACGCCAACCUCGUGGGCGUCGCCAUCGGCUACACCAUCGCCGCCUCCAUCAGCAUGCGGGCGAUCGGGAGGGCGGACUGCUUCCACUACCACGACGUCAGGGGCCGCAGCGGGAAGGACGAGUGCAAGAGCUCCAGCAACCCCUACAUGAUCGUCUUCGGGGUGGUGCAGAUCCUCUUCUCGCAGAUACCGGACUUCGACCAGAUAUGGUGGCUCUCCAUCGUCGCCGCCGUCAUGUCCUUCACCUACUCCACCAUCGGGCUCGGGCUCGGCAUCGCGCAGACCGUCGCCAACGGUGGCAUCCAGGGAAGCCUCACCGGCCUCAGCGUCGGCCCGGGCGUGACCUCCAUGCAGAAGGUGUGGCGCAGCCUCCAGGCCUUCGGCAACAUCGCCUUCGCCUACUCCUACUCCAUCAUCCUCAUCGAAAUCCAGGACACGGUGAAGGCGCCGCCGCCGUCGGAGGCGAAGGUGAUGAAGAAGGCGACGGGGAUAAGCGUGGCGACGACGACGGUAUUCUACAUGCUGUGCGGGUGCAUGGGGUACGCGGCGUUCGGCGACGCGGCGCCCGACAACCUGCUCACGGGGUUCGGCUUCUACGAGCCCUUCUGGCUGCUGGACGUCGCCAACGCCGCCAUCGUGCUGCACCUCGUCGGCGCCUACCAGGUCUUCUGCCAGCCCCUCUUCGCCUUCGUCGAGAAGUGGGCGGCGGCGAGGUGGCCCGACAGCGCCUUCAUCGCCCGGGAGCUCCGCGUGGGGCCAUUCGCCAUCAGCGUCUUCCGGCUCACCUGGCGCACGGCCUUCGUCUGCCUCACCACCGUCGUCUCCAUGCUGCUCCCCUUCUUCGGCGACGUCGUGGGGCUCCUCGGCGCCGUCGCCUUCUGGCCGCUCACCGUCUACUUCCCCGUCGAGAUGUACAUCGUGCAGCGCGGCGUGCGGCGGGGGAGCACGCGGUGGGUUUGCCUCAAGAUGCUCAGCGCCGCCUGCCUCGUCGUGUCCGUCGCCGCCGCCGCCGGGUCCAUAGCCGACGUCAUCGGCGAGCUCAAGGAGUACCGGCCGUUCAGCGGCUGA